AUCGCUUCUCAGCCUUUUGGCUAAGAUCAAGUGUAGUAUCUUCUCUCAUGGAUCUCAUGGAAGUUUUAACAUCAUGCGCAAUAUUUUUUUAUAAAUUAUAUUAUGUCAUCCUAGAGCUGGCCAGCAAUCAUU
rnacentral:snRNA from 1 species